rnacentral:rRNA from 1 species
CCUACGGGGGGCAGCAGUGGGGAAUAUUGCACAAUGGGGGGAACCCUGAUGCAGCAAUGCCGCGUGGGUGAAGAAGCACUCCGGUGCGUAAAGCCCUGUCAGCAGGGAAGAAAAUGACAGUACCUGGACAAGAAGCCCCGGCUAACUACGUGCCAGCAGCCGCGGUAAUACGUAGGGGGCAAGCGUUAUCCGGAUUUACUGGGUGUAAAGGGAGCGCAGGCGGCGUGGCAAGUCAGAUGUGAAAACCCGGGGCCCAACCCCGGGAGUGCAUUUGAAACUGCCAUGCUGGAGUGCCGGAGAGGUAA